ACCUUUGGGAAAUAUUGACAAGGUGAGAUUACAAAGGUGACAACCCUCGAUGACUUCACGGACACAAACGGGCGAGAUAAUGAAGAAUUCUUAACACUAAUUACCUUUAUGAAGAGUCGUAUCUGCAUUACCUUUGUGAAAUAUCGACCAGGUGAGAAUUAGAAAGGUGUGUAAUGAAAUUUGCAAAAGGUGAUGACUUAAUUACAUAACGGAGCGAGAUAACCAAGAAUUCUUACCUUAUGCUGCCCUUCACAUUGUUACUCACAUUACCUUAGUGAAAUGUUGACCAGGUGAGAAUUAGAAAGGUGUGUAAUGAAAUUUGCAAAAGGUGAUGACUUAAUUACUUGACGGACAUAACGGAGCGAGAUAACCGAGAAUUCUUAACUUAUGCUGCCCUUCACAUCAUUACUCGCAUUACCUUAGUGAAAUGUUGACCAGGUGAGAAUUAGAAAGGUGUGUUAUAACAAUUUGCAAAAGGUAUUAAUUAGACAACCCUUGACUUCAUGGACACAAACGGGCUAGAUAACGAAGAAUACUUAACUUUAAAUACCUUUAUGAAGAGUCAUAUCUGCGUUACCUUUGUGAUAUAUUGACCAGGUGAGAAUUACAAAGGUGUGUUAUAACAAUUUGCAAAAGGUAUUAAUUAGACAACCCUUGAGGGCAUAAUCGGGCGAGAUACCGAAGAAUUCUUAACACUAAUUACCUUUAUGAAGAGUCGUAUCUGCGUUUGACCAGGUGAGAAUUAGAAAGGUGUGUCUUAACAAUUUGUAACAGGUGACGACUUAGUAACGUUACGACAACUCUUCAUUGCUUUACGGGCAUAACGGCGCAAGAUAACCAAGAAUUCUUAACUUAUACUGACCUUUAAACCUUGAAUUACCUUUGUGAAAUAUUUGGUUGGUGAGAAUGACAAAGGUGUGCUAUGCAAUUUACAAAAGGUAACAGCUCUUCAUUGCUUUACGGACACAACGCCGCAAGAUAACCAAGAAUUCUUAACUUAUACUGAGCUUUACACCUUGAAUUACCUUUGUGAAAUAUUUGGUUGGUGUGUAAUAACAAUUUGCAAAGGUGACAACUUUCCAUUACGCACUUAAAAGAUAAUACCAAGAGGAAAACAAUUCAAUUACCUUUAUAAAGACUCCUAUCUCUCCAUUGCCUCUGUGAAUUAUGUAGCAAGGGAGAAUGACAAAGGUGUGUUUUAACAGUUUCCGAAGUGACAGCCCUUAACCCCUCUGCUGCGAUUGGCAUGGAUUUGGCCUUCACUAAAGAUGCGAUAUUUCUUUCAUUUUUAUUCAUUUAUUUGUGUCUGCUAUUUGUACUUAUAGUUUGUCUUGCAGUUUACUUCUUUUUACUGAUUUUAUGUGUGCUUUUUUGUAUCAUUUUAUUUGAUUCCUCCUACUGCUUGUCUUUAUUACUCCUGAGGCCAUAUUUCUCUCUUUACUCAUUCACUUGUGUCCGCUAACCUUAUCACCAUUCCUGCUUAACCCGUCCGCUGUGAUUGGCAAGGAUUUGGCGUUCACUGGUAGCCUGGUAACAUACACUCCCAGGUCUUCCUCUGCCUCUGUGGUGGAUAGUGGAGUGUUUCCCAUGUGGUAUUGGUAUGCUGGAUAUCCCUUCACUGGUAGCCUGGUAACAUACACUCCCAGGUCUUUCUCUGCCUCUGUGGUGGAUAGUGGAGUGUUUCCCAUGUGGUAUUGGUAUGCUGGAUAUCCCUUCACUGGUAGCCUGGUAACAUACACUCCCAGGUCUUUCUCUGCCUCUGUGGUGGAUAGUGGAGUGUUUCCCAUGUGGUAUUGGUGUGCUGGAUAUCCCCUCCCAAGGUGCAGGACUACAUUUUUCUUCAUUGAAUUGUAGCAGCCACUUUUUGUUCCACUCCUGUAGCUUGGUGGUGUCUUCUUGUAGAAAAUCUGCAGUCAAGGGGGUAAUUCACAGACACAAAAAGGAAGAUCAAGCUUUUUCAACGUUCACUGUUCUUUCGUGAACCCUGAAAGAAUGAUGGACACUGUGAUUUCUGUAUUGCUUGGGGUUUGAAUGACGAGCACCUCCCUUCUCCUUCAUUUCUUUCCUUUUGCGACAACAAUUAACUACAUAAUUAAAGCUUUUUUCACACACAAAUGCUCUAAAAAAAAUCUAUUUCCCUUGUUUUUUUUUUUUGUUUUUUUGCAACAA